CAGUCGCCACGGGAAUACGAAGGGGGCUAGCGUUGCUCGGAAUGACUGGGCGUAAAGGGCGCGUAGGCGGAUGACACAGUCAGAUGUGAAAUUCCCGGGCUUAACCUGGGGGCUGCAUUUGAUACGUGUUGUCUAGAGUGAGGAAGAGGGUUGUGGAAUUCCCAGUGUAGAGGUGAAAUUCGUAGAUAUUGGGAAGAACACCGGUGGCGAAGGCGGCAACCUGGUCCUUUACUGACGCUGAGGCGCGAAAGCGUGGGGAGCAAACAGGAUUAGAUACCCCGGUAGUCCCUGUCUCUUAUAC
rnacentral:rRNA from 1 species